ACCCCGGCCCGGCCCCGCUUCCCCGGCACAUCAGGAAUGCCUGCUUCGGAGCCGCCCCUCCACCCUGGCAGAACCGGGACCCUCGGCCCGCAGCCGCCCCUCGGCCACCACGACCCAGCGCUGCACUUCGGGACACCGGCACAGGCGCCCCUUUCCCGGCACCCUCGGCCCGGACACCCCACGGCCACGCUCGCUUCCCACCUCACCCGCAGCACUAACGAGUCACAGAACCAUGGAACCAGUGAAUGAAUAUCCUGAGUUGGAAGUGACCAGGAUUCAGUCCAGCUCCUAGCCCUGCACAGGACAGCCUUUAGAAUCCCACCCUGUGCCUGACAGCGUUGUCCAAACACUUCUGGAAUUCUGUGGCUGGUGUUCUGAUGGCCCCAAGGCCCAGCAAACACCAAGCCAGAUUGAGGCUCAUUGCCCCUUCGGAGGAGAAAGACAUGUCUUUAUUGAACUGAAAAUGAGUGCCAGACAGCAAUGACAUUUCAGAAAAAAAAAAAAAGUCUGUUGAGAGUAUAAAAUAAACCAGUUUAGUCUACAUUAAUCACCUCUUGAUAUGCAAAUGUCAAACACUUCCAUGCUACAACAACCAAAACUGCUCCGUGGUUCGUACUGUGAUGGCGCGGCCAGAGGAUCCUCAGUGGAGGGUCUGGCCUGAGGGGGAACCAGGCAGUCCCUUCCCACUGCACACCAGCCCCAGCACCUGCACCAGGCGCUCCUCCCCAACCAGUAAAAAAAAAAAAAAAAAAAAAAAAAAUUCCCUGUAAACUAAAGAAGCUGGGAUUGCACACCUCAGUCCCAACGGCACCGCGCCGUCGUCGGUCAGCGUGACACAGCACAGCCACCCUACAGCUCAGUUAAGCCCAAAUGCUAUGUUUAUUGAGGACUUCUAAUAUCGUGAUACCUUGGUUCAGUAAUUUGUGAAAUACCUAAAUACCGUUAAAUAUAUUUUUAAAAAACCCUAAACCAGACUCUGGACUAAACAAGAUGAACGUUAAACUAAAAAGUUAGAAGGGACGUCAUUUGCAUUAACACUUUCUUUAAAAAAUAUAAUCGCUUUUUCCUUUUCUGUUUGUUUGUUUGUUUUUGAAGUCAAUUAACCACAGUGGUGAGACGUGCUCUCUUUUUCAGCUCUUACAUCGCAGCGUGCAGAGUUUUGCCUUCCCAGACUGGAGCAGCCCCGCUGUCACCCGAGUGGCAGGGACAACUCAGGAACGGCGCUGCCUCCCCGCCGCGUGGAAAAGAGCGGUGUCACCACUGUGCCAUAA